AGGCUGAUCUUGUCGUUUUAUUGCUGAUUCCAAUGCUAAUUGCAAACCAGAUGUUUUGGCUUCAGGUUGAGGUACAGCGUCCUGAAAUGUUAGAACACAAAGUUCAAUUGAGGAAAACUUACGAUUUCAACUUGGUGCAUCCAGUUGACAGAAAAUAGAUCUCCGAGAAAGACUUCCAUUUUAUCAUCCCAGUAGCACGCAUAAGACGAUUCAUCUGGAGUAGCAGCUGCCAUUACGAAUACUGUAAUCAACAAUAAAAGGUGAGUUGGUUGGUAGGUAAGAUAUUUGUCGUAGCAAAGUUAGUUUCUAGUAAGGUAGGUAUAAGUAUUCGAAGAACAUGUUGAAGAGCCAUAGGAAGGAAAGACGAGCGGUUUUUUUAAAUAAUGUAGGAAAUGAAAAAAAAACAGGUUAGAAAAAUGAAAGUCCUUUUUUUAAAACAGAAUUCACACUUAUUUGAGUACCUACUAAAACUCAUUAUUUUCACUUUUCAGUGAUGGAAAUUUUGAUUUUGUUUUUUUAACUCUGACGAAUGACGAUAAUUUAAAAGACAUGGCGGCAUAUUAAUCCAUAAUCCAUCACCUCAUUAGACUACAUAGAUCUACAAUAACGCGUUUCCAAGCAAUUUAUUUGCACUUACUGUUUGUGGUAUCUUUUAAUAGACUUUCGAACAUGGAACCGGCUUCGCACGCUUCAAUGUAGAGGAACAUCUGAAAAAAAAUGAGCGAUUAAUCAAGAUGAUCUAGCAUUCUAGCUACAUACCUACCUAUUACCUACAAUUAUGUAGCAGUUGUUCCAUUUCGCCUUUAAUCUGCUGAAAUAAGUAUACGAAUAUUGUGUUGUCUUUAUAAGUCAUUGUCGGAUUCAUUCAACGACCGUUAUAUCUGAUGUUUUUUUUGCCAUCGAACGAUCAUCGAUCGAUUUGAUAUUAGUGUUACAAUUCUGAGUGACACUUUGACAGAAUCAAGAAAUCGUGAAAAUGAACAGGAAAGAUAGGUACAUAGAAUAGUUCUAUUUGUUUUCCUUUUCAAACUGUUGUUAAAAUUUUUCCCUAAUGUUUCUCAACGUGAUUCAUAUUUCAUUCUUUUUCAACUGAGCACCAAACUUGACGUUUUUUCUUCGAACUAAUUAGCUGCUAAGUGCUAAUCGAUUUUUUUGAAUUUGAGAAAAUACAUUUAAUGAACUAGAGUCUUACCCCAAUGUAAAUUUAUAUACUUAUAUUUCAAGUACCUAAUGUUAAGUUAAGUGAUGACUGAGUUUGUCAGUUGGAAUUUUUUCUUUGAAGGCUCUUGUAAGUUUUUUUAGUUCCAAUGUUUCGCUUUAUAUUAAUAAAAAAUAAAAAUACAUUUUUUAAUUUUUUAAAUAUGUAUUUAUAAGAAACAUAUUAAUUUCUCUACUUUACUACAUCGAUUAUGACCCUAUUGAAUAGUUUGUAAUGCCUAUUUUCAAACUUGUGUACUAUUUUCAAUUUUUUUUAUCUCGGUUUAUUUAUUUGCUUUUUUGUUUUUCCACCAAUAUUAAUGAUGGACUACAGUUACAAGAAUGUCAAUAAAUGCUUCAACUCCAUGUCAUAUUCAUUUAACUAAUAUAUCAAUGUAUCAUGGUGUUUGUCUCGGUUUUACUACAUACUUUUGUUGUUUUAGUAGAUUGAUAGUUUGUUGUAUUUUUUUUAUUCCAUGUUGAAGGUUGAAGUACAAAGUACUUUGCUACUUACCUCAGUCAGUGCAUUUUUAUUUUUUCUUUCACUUUCAAUAUUUCUAUAUUCAAUUUCCGAAUCUACAACGGUUCGUAGUUACUAGUUAGCACCUAAUGUUACUUUUACGACUACACUGAAUAAGAUAAUUGAUUCAUGAACAGAAUAAUCGCCAAUGGCUGAGGCUGAGAUUUUCUUAUCAUCACCGAUUUCCCCAAAAAUUAAGUUUUAGAAAAAUGAAUAGCUUUUCAAAUUUAAAAAUUUAAAUUUAAAUUUUGGAACUGUAUAAAAUAAAUGUGUACCAAGCUUCUCAUUACCUUUUUGAGGAAAUGAGCCAUGCCAUGAGCGAUUUGUAUUUUCAAAAUAAUCAAAUAUGUUGAAUUAUUGAAUUCCAGGAAUUCAAGUUCAAUAAGAUGCAAGUAAACGUAGCUCGUAGACGACGAAGAGAUGAAAUAUUUAAUUAAUAAAUUUAUUUAAAUAUUUAAAUUUUAAAUUAUUAAAAGACAAAUAAAAAAAAAAAACUUUAAAAAAACAAAAAAAGUAAAAUUUAUGAACAUGACGUCAGCGUUCGUGACCAAUCAUAAUACGCUAAAUCAGUGCUGCCUGAAAAACCAACUCAUGCGCAAAAUGAUUUUUUGUAACAACUCGAACCUCCCUCCUUCCUGCGCAUUUACGUUCCACUCCUCAAAUCUCGAAAUAAAGAUAAAGAAGAACCGUCGACCGCGCACACCGGCCCGCACAUUUAUUUUAAAUUAAAUUGCAAUUUCGGUGCAUCGUAAUUGACUUACAUUUUAUUUAAUUUAAUGUUAAUGUUUUAUGUAAUUAGAAAACGUUCGAUCUCGGAAGUUACCAUGUACGUGCGUAAUACGUGAUCUUAUAAUGCAAUUCGUGCAUCGCCGGUAUUCACUGUUCAGCUGUCAACGUUAUUUUCUAAGAUUUUCGAGUGCAGUAAAAGUAAUGGUUUCCUUGGCUGUAUGAUAUGAUUUAUCUGUUCGAAGAAUUUGAAGCUUAAUUCGUGAUUUUUCCCGAAUUCACACCUAGUAUGGAGUACGAUUACCGGCCUGAAGCUACGAUGCACGCCUUCCACAGAAUUUGAUUUAUCUAUUGACGUUUGUUUUUCAACAUCAAUAUCGUUCCUUUGUAAUUACAUUAAUUUCAGCAAACUUGGAAUUCUGUUAGAGUAAUAUCCGUAAACUUUCCCGUUAUGCAGUUCAAUUUAGUUUGAAGUUAGCAGCUGUUAUACUCAUUUUGUUCAAAAAUCAGCUGUUCGUGAACGCUAUUUAGUAUCGCUCGAUCGAAAUGAAAUGUACUUCGUUGAGUUUAGAAUUUGAAUCGAGGUUGUCAUCAAGUGCGCUGUUACGUUUCCAGUCUAAAGUUAUUGUGCUCGCCUUCUACAAAAAUCGAUUUGUAACCAAUAUUUAGUAUUUAUACGACAUGAGAUUAUUGUCAACGAAUUUUGAAUUUGAAUCAAGCAUUUUCAAUUCAUGUUGGUGAGAAGUUAGCUGAACUACAAAUACUUCAUCUACCUACACAUAUGAUGCUUGAUGCUCGAAUCACGUUACACCCUUUCCUGAGUGGAAAUUUGCAUUUGAAAACAAUUUUCUAAAAAUUUACGCAUAUUCCUUCAACAUUAUGAAUCAACAUUGCAAUUUUGCAAUUUUAUUCUAUGUAUUUUUCGAAUAAAGAUCAGUACAGCUUAAAAACUAGGUAGUAAAAUGAUAUACUUAAUCGAUAAUAUUAUCAACAAAGCUGAAUUAUUUAAUGCGAUUAUGUAUACUCAAUGGUAAUAUUUUUUUUAAAAAAACAAAUUUCUAUAAAAAACAUAGUAUUCAGUCAGUCAUGAAAUAGUAUAUUACAAUACAAGGAGCGAAAGUGAAGUAUGUUUGGUCGAGUGCAAUUUUACUCGCCGAGCCGAAGGCGAGGUGAGUUAAAGCACGAGACCAAACAUUCUUCACGUCGCUUCUUGCAUUGUAAGAUAUUUUUCAUUAUUCAUGCUACGAAAAUAAGUUUUACGCCCGUUUUUGCUUAAAGUGAUGAACGUAUGACUCCUUUUUUGCGUAAAUAUAUCGAAUACUAAGCCUCCUAGAAAAAAACUGAAGACAUUAUGUCGAUUGGAAAUUUAAUUCUCUACAAUUUUCCUCGACUUCAUUUUUCCGUAGAAUGCUUUUUUCCGCCUCCAGAGCGCUUUAAAAGUUAAAAGAUGUUCAUUUUCGACCCGGGUAAACAUGGAGCAUUUUCGUAGCAUGCACGGAGGGCGGAAAACUUAUACUUUCGUAGCAUGUAUAAUGAAAAAAUAUUUAAAUUUAAUGCAAAACAAAAAAAUGAGCUUCUGAAAAAUAGAAAAAAAAAACGAAAUAUGAAUGAAAAAUAUAAUUACCUUUUUCAAUGGAAAUUCCAUGUUGCUCAAUUAAUCAACUUUGCAGUUUUGCAAUUUUAUUCUAUUUUUCGAAUAAAGAUCAGCACAGCUUAAAAACUAGGUAAUGAAAUAAUAUAAUCGAUAAUAUAUUCAACAAAGCUGAAUUAUUUAAUACGAUUAAGUAUAGUUGAUACAAAUAUUUAAAAAAAAAAAAAACAAAUCUCUAUUAAAAACAUAGUACUUAUUCAGUCAGUCACAUCAUUUUUUAAAAAAAUAUUAUUUAAAUUUAAUUUGGGUUUGUUUGUAAGCAUGAUCAAUUGCAACCACUUUUGUUGUUGUUGCUCUUGAGUAAAAGUCGCUAAAGUAGCUUUUAGAGUAUUUGAGCAAAACUCACUAUUCAAAUAAAUUUUUAUUUUCUUUAAAAUUAAUAUUGACGAAUAUAUCUUUAAAUUUGUAAUCAUUUUUGAUCAUAUGAUCGAAUACAAACUCCGUUAGUUCAGUAGUAAAAGCGGCUUCAUUUAAUAUCUGUAAGAACAUAUUAUACUUACUCUCUUCGUUGAUGUUUUGUUUUAAAUCUGUGACGAAUAAAUUAAACAAAGUUUCGUCAAUCAAUUCUGAAACAAUUAGCAUUAUUAUUGAAAAAAAAAAAAAAAAAAAAAAACAUGAAAAUAAAUUGAUAUAAGUAAUGCACAAAUGGCUUUUUCAUUUAUUUCUAAUAUGUAAGUUUCGAAAAAUGUACAACAAAAUUGAAAAGAAAUUUCAACAAAAGUUGAUCAAGAUGUUGAAAAAUUCCAAAAAAUUGAAUCUAUUCAGGGCUUGUGUUCGGUUACUUUACGUUUAAAUUUUUCUCAUUUUUUUCAAGAACUACCAAAGCAAUAAAAGUCUCUGUUUUACUAGAAAUUACUUGAAACUAUCACAUGUCUAUUGUCUAUCAGUAGUGUCAAAAAAAUUCUUGUUUCAUGCUAAAAUUGUUAAAAUCUUGCUUUUUAUAGAAGAUUGCCAAAAAUUCUUGGUUUUUCAAAAAUUGUUUUGAAUUUUUGGUUUUUAGCAAAAUGGUUAAUUUUUUUGUAAAAUAUUCCAAAAAUUCUCAUUCUCUUCACAAAUUGUCUAAAAGUCUUGUUUUUUGACAAAAAUUGCGAAAAACUCAGAAAUAACUCCUUUUUAUGCAAAAUUGUGAUUUUUCGAUCAGAAUUUCUAAAAAUUCCUACUUUAUGAUGAAAUUGUCGAACAAAAAUUUCAAAACGUGGCAUUUGUUGCCAAUAAUUGUCUUCUUUCAAUUUUUUUUCAACGCUUUCUAUUCUUUUUGGUUAGAAAUUAGUUCUCGAAUUGCAGAUUUUUCCGAUUUCAAUUUUUUUCGUUUUUUUUUCUUGACAGGAUUUGUUUUCUAUAAAACUUGAAAAAUCAAUUGAAAUCCUCCUUCCCCCUCCCAGUUUUUUAAUAGUCAACACAGGUGCAAUUUUUUAUAUUAUUUUGUCGUUGUGUGAUCAAUUUCUUCUAUUUUUUUGUAAGGUUUUGAGUCUGAUUUCCAGAUUCUUCCUUGUUUAUUUUUUGUAAGUUCCCCCUUCAAGUUUUCUACUCCAUUUGCUUCUUGAAAUCUUGAGCCCACUGAAGUUUUGCAGUAUAGCUUAUACUUUGUAUAGCUGAAAUUUUUCUCUUCUAUUGCGAUAUUCUCGAUUUUCUUCAUUCUAUUUAGAAUAAUGACUUUUAAAAUAAAUGGGUUAAAAGAUCAGAUUUUUGAAAAAAAACAUGUUUUUGAAAUUUUGUCGAAAUGGUCGAUUUUGUCAGGCGGGGUCACUAUAUAUUUUUUCCAACUGCAGAUUCCCCUUCAAAUUUUUUUGAUUGGAAAGCGUUUCUCGAUCGGUUGCAAAUUUUUUCGCUCCCAAUUUUUCCACCCCCCCCCCCCUGACACGUUUCAUGUGAUUCAACAGUUACCAUAAAGCUGCAAUUUUCUUCUUGUGUCGUAUAAUGUUCUCAGUUUCUUCUAUUCUUUUUGGAAGGUUUUGAGUUUGAUUUGGUUAUUCUACAUAUGUUACCUAUUUAAUUUUUUCAAUUCUAUUCUGUUUGGUUCGAGAUUUGCUUGUUGAGUGGCAGAUUUUCCUCACAUAAUUUAUCGUCUGUGAAAUUUGAAAAAUUGAUCAAUAUUUCCUUCCUCUCACCUUACCUGGCUUGCUGCAGAUUUUUUUGCUCUUUUUUUUCGGGACUUACGUGUUGUCUAAAAAACUUGAAAAAGUGAUCAACACCGUCCCCUCCCUUCCACUCCUCUAGUUUUUCAAUAGUUUUUAUAGAUGCAAUUUUUUUCUCUGUCGUACUACUACUAACUUUUUCUAUUUUUUUGAGGAUGUUGAGUUUGAUAUUGUAAUUUUGUCAUUUUUAUUUUCUCCACCUACAGAUUCCCCUUCAUUCUUCUUGGCAGGGUUUUCGAGCAUCUUUCGAGUUCGAUUUUGUAAUUCAAUAUCAUUUAUUUAAGCUGUUGAUUUUCUUCCUUUUUUCAUUACAUUCUCAAUAUCUUACUCGCGAUAGUAUUUCAUUGAAGUAGGAGUUUGACUCAGCGUCAGCUCCGUCCGGGUAGCUGAUUUUUUUCCAGACGUCGUCCGGUAAUUUUCAUCUGGAGUCGUAAAAUAUAACCCUCAUAAUCGAUAAAGCUGCUUCAAUUUUGAUUCCCUCUCCCUCGGCUUGUAACCACAUCCAGGGGUUUCGUUGCAAAUACAGCUGCAGACUACAUGUACAUGUGUAUGCGCUCGUCGCGUAACUUCAAUCAACAAUACCUCGAAUUCGAAAACUAUCAGACAUACGGAAAAGGUGUAUAGAACAUUUUUCGUAGGAAAUUCGAUGCUCUACAUUUUCCCUCUGAGGUAUUUCAUCUCUAAUUGUAACCAUUUUUGAGAAAAUUGUGAAAAACUGAAAAAUGAGAGGGUUUUGAGCACUUAAGCUAGCGCCUCGUCUAGUAAGUAGUAUGUAUUGUAAAUUCUGCUCACUUAAAACCAGGGAACUGAAUUAUACGUCUCAGACUAUACAGUCAACGUUCCGGACUCCUGUUCAUAACUUUAUAGACUUUAUGACCCUAACGAAGCAACAUGCGGUCGUAAAGUUCGAGACUCAGCAUCCCAGACAAUGACUUGGUCGCUGUUUCCAUUAGUUACCAUUUGCGAUGGCAGAUUUCAAUCAAUAAUUUAUAGGGGUUUUCAACGGUGUAGUAGUUUUCAUCAAAUGCACGCGCGUGUCUGCUCAUAAAUACAGGGAUAACGAAGACGAGACAGUUGGCUGGAAAUCGCAACAGGGAGUAAAAUUCGACAGUUGUUGUAAGCUGAAACGCGCGGCAUUCUAUGUAAUUCUUCGCAAACGUGUGUACCGUUCUCGUUAGUUAGUGGAGUCGUUUUUACCGGCGUUUAUUUUUUCUACGCAAAAGUGUGUACCGUUCUCGUUAGUGGAGUCGCUUUUACCGACGUUUAUUUUUUUCAAUAGUAAGCUUCUUGUAAAGUCGUUUUCGUGGAUUUUUCGAGCGUGAUGAAUGCAGGCAGAAAGAAGAAAACUAAACAGCUAAGUAAAACUUACGAUCAAUUCAAAGGCUACGAAAAGUAUGCGUAGCCUCUAAGUAUAAAAUUUCAAGUUUGCUGCAAUGCGAAUAAUUUUUUUUUUUUGAAGUUACCGGCAUUUUAUAAUUAAAACAAAAUCUUGAACGAGAAAAUGUUUGAAUAACCAUGCAUCAUAUUGUUAUAAUGUAUAUUCCCUAACUAUUAACUUGGAAAAUUUAUCAAUUUAAAUCAACUUUUUUUUUUAGAAAAUUAUAAAAUCGAAAAUCCAUAUAAUUAAAAGUGAAAAUUUAGGAAUUGACAAAAAAAUUUAGAAUCAAGUAAAUUAAGAAAAUGAAAGUAAAACUGUUAUGCUCCUGAAUGUGUUAAGGGUUCACUGCUUCCCUGACUCAUGCUAGACAACUCUCCUAUAAGUUGAGUUUCAUGCUUCUUAUCUGAGUAGAGUAAUUUUAUUUUAUCCUUCAAUUCUUGCCACGCCACGUUCGAAAGGUACAUAUGGCGUUAAUAUAGAUUAAGCUGGUGAUUUAAUCUUUGCUAAUACGGUUAAAAGUAAUGCGUGCUUUUGGUCCGUGUAUGCCAACUUGAAGGCAUUAUGAUAAUUAGGGGAGACCGGGGCUCAGGCUUACUUUUUUUCUUGAUUUUUUUUGGGCCACUUAUUGUUGAUUUUUUCGAAAUUUGACCGACAUGAAAUUGAAGGAUACAUUGAUGCUUUACCUACGUUUUGGCGCAGCAAAAUUCAAAUUUCAAACACGUUCACAUGGAAAAAAUUGAUUUUCCAAAAUUCGUUUUUUUGGCCAACUUGCCCCGGGGCCGGGGUAAGUUGAGAUUUAAGUUGGUGUACAUUGACAUAAUACAAAAUUGCAUACAAAAGCGAAUUUAUUUCAGAAUCAAACAAUUUUGAAUUUUCUACUCGCAAUUAUGGCAUACAAAGCUCGGAUCACUAUCUGUACACUCUUCGUGAGCCCAUCCGAGACAUUCUAUGCACUGCAGCCGCACCUCCUUCGACCUGCUGUAGGAUUCAUCGCAUAUUAUAAUGCAUGGUACCGCAUCAUCUUUUUUAUUUUUCGGUGCCUUUUUUGUCUUCUGUUUCGUUUCCUGUUUCUCAUUUUUUCCAGAACUUGAAUUUUUGAGUUUUUCAGCCAACUUCGCUUUAAAACUGCUUUGGCGGAGGUUCUUCCUCCGAAUCGGAAUCCCAGUCAUUGUUUUUCUUGGAAGCCAAUUUGAAUAAUCUUUUUUUGGCAUUUGCUUCCUUAGCAGCAAUUUUUGCGUCCUUUUCAGCUUUUUUUGCAUUUAAUUUAUCAAGUUCCGGAGUAUCUGUGAGAUUUGCGGUGGUCAUCGUUCGUCUAGAAACAGUAGGGUUAUUUUUGAAUUCCUUUUUUGGAAACGGGCAAAAUUUGGUAAUAGAAAUAUUCGAAGGUGAAGAAGAUUGAUUAUUGAGAUCGUUCGGUGUACUAUAGUGGCCACUACUUCGUUGAUAGUGUUAUGUUCUCAAAAUAAAUUGGUCUAAAAUGAGUCAAGCUCUUUAUUAGAAUUAUUUAUAAUUAUUAAAAUUUUACCUUAAUUAAUAUAAAUUGGACUUAUUACUUACACUCGCGAUACAAUAAAUUAAUUAAAUAAAAUUCAAAUUGGUUUAAAGAAAUUUACCUACGUGAAUUAAAAUACAAAAUCCGCACAACACCAAAUAAAAAUUCAGAGGAAAAUUACAUUAAAUUAAAUUAGAAAUUUGUGAAAUUAUGUAAAAUUACGUGAAUGAAAUUCACAAUUAGCACCAAAAAUUAUUAUAGAAAAAUUCGCACUUGUAAAUAUAAUAAAAGAAUUGAUACAAAAAUUAGGAAGUUAUAAAAUUUAGAAAAAUGAGAGAAAUUCGGAAGAGAUGUUAAGUUUUACCACCACUAUACAUAUAACUGUAUUUACAAAAAUGAACAAGCUCAGGGAGCUUUUCUUAAGACAACUAUAUAUGGACAAAGGUUACAUAAGAACUGUCAUCGGACAAUUUCUCUAGUUAUCUUUUGAGUGAAGGCUCCCUUCACUCUUCAAUUAUAGACGGAGACAAUACUUUCCUCUUUCCCCGGAUCAAUCAUAAUUUGUAGAAAAAUGCAUCCAAAGGGUAAAGGGAGAAGUAAAAGUACAGAGGUGAAAGGAGAGAAGAAAAAGACAGAAGAGAGAAGAAAAGGUUAAAUCAAAAUUAUACGUAUCAUUUUAUGGCCUAUAAAAUGUACUUGAUUUAACUUAGAAGGAAAAAUGUAAACGUAUAUGAAAAACGGAAAAACAGUAGUUAUUAGGAAGAUUGACAGAGUGAUAGCGAUAUGGUUGCCAUAUCUAUACUUAUAUUGGAAACAGAGCCAUGAAGGGGAUGAUACAUUUGUACCAUCAUAAAAAUGCACUAAAAUGCAACGCUACUUAAUAUGUAUCUGGAAUUGACAGCAUUCAUAUUCUGAACAUUGUCAGUGAUGACUGACAAAAAUUUAGAACAACCAAUUUCUUCCAUAACUUCCUUUAUGAUACAUUAAUGGAAGCUAUGUAGGUUGCAGUAUGUUGGUUGUUUUCUGCUAAAAUGAUCUUAUAAAUCACUGGUCCACUGGCUGUAGUAAUAAGGACGUUCAGUACCAAAUGUUUUCUAAAAUGAAACAAUGAAAUAAUUACAGGUACCUAAGUAGUAUACCUAAAGGGGAAAAAAUAAUAAAAAUAGAAAAGUUACAAUUAUUAAAAAGCAAAAAUUCUUUUGUUACUCACUUUACAUUUAUCCAGCCAUCAAUUUGAAGACUUGGUGAGCUUGAUGCUUGUAUUCACUCAAAGACAGAUUUCUCAACAGAUUCAAACAUUCAUAUAUUUAACAAUGGAGUAGAGAGUGAAUAACUCGAAGGAAGUGUAAAUGAUGGCCGUAUGGUUUGGAAAUAAGUAACCAAAUGUUUGUUUUCAACACAGCUCAAAGGUAUACCCAUUGCAUGAAUAGCUCUUCUCACCAGUUGAAUAAUGGAGCUAAAAAUAUAAUUGAAAAAUUAAAAUAAAAAAAUUAACGGACAUGACAGACAAAUUUCAAUUAUCAAAAAUCUGUCCUCAUUUGCAGGAUAGAACAUUUUGACAAAAAAAAAAAAAGAGACCAAGCAAGAAAAAUUACUUACUAAAGAAAUGGAAAA